rnacentral:rRNA from 1 species
AUUGAACGCUGGCGGCAGGCCUAACACAUGCAAGUCGAGCGGAUGAAGGGAGCUUGCUCCUGGAUUCAGCGGCGGACGGGUGAGUAAUGCCUAGGAAUCUGCCUGGUAGUGGGGGAUAACGUCCGGAAACGGGCGCUAAUACCGCAUACGUCCUGAGGGAGAAAGUGGGGGAUCUUCGGACCUCACGCUAUCAGAUGAGCCUAGGUCGGAUUAGCUAGUUGGUGGGGUAAAGGCCUACCAAGGCGACGAUCCGUAACUGGUCUGAGAGGAUGAUCAGUCACACUGGAACUGAGACACGGUCCAGACUCCUACGGGAGGCAGCAGUGGGGAAUAUUGGACAAUGGGCGAAAGCCUGAUCCAGCCAUGCCGCGUGUGUGAAGAAGGUCUUCGGAUUGUAAAGCACUUUAAUUUGGGAGGAAAGGCAGUAAGUUAAUACCUUGCUGUUUUGACGUUACCAACAGAAUAAGCACCGGCUAACUUCGUG